AUAUGUUUAAAUUAUAUAGGACUUAAGUAACAUGAUACAUCUUAGGAUGCAGUGUCAAUAUCACGUAUGCUUUUACAUGUAAACCAACAACUUUUAUAGUCGAAUAAAAUGCUAACCAUAAGUGCAUUUUAUGACUGAUAAAUAAUAUUGAUAAAUAAAUUCGCGUAUUUAUACUUUACAGUCGUAUUGCGAGUGUGAUACUGCACUCUAAGAAUAAUACCUUUUUCUAUCAGAGGUCAUGUUCAUCUUCAUUCAACAGAUUCAUAUAUGUAAACUACUAUAUUGCUAGUCACGUAUCUUCCCAAUAAGCGGCGUUGGCGAAAACAUUAUGGUGUAGUAUAUCACACACAUACGAGACAUAUAUCAACAUCUCGCUUCCAUAAUUCCACUUUACGCAAUGCGCAUGCUGCGUUUUGUUGAGCUAGUUUAAUCUAACCAGUUAAUCAUAAUCAGUUAAGCGGGGAGCACACACUUUUGCAUAAGCGCAUAACCAUAAACAUAAAGAAAUUGAUUGGUCCACAAAUGUAUGCAUAAGAAAAUGAACCAAUCAAUUUCCUUAUGCUUAUUGUUAUGCGCUUAUGCAAAAGUGUGUGCUCCCCGCUUUAACCAAUUUCAUUAAGUUUAUAUAAAUUUUAAGAAGUGAUUUUAAAAAGAUUUUAAGAAGUUUUCUUUUAAAAAGUGAUAAAAAAGCAACGAUAAUGCUUGUUACAUUUGUAAAAGAAAAACAACUUUGCACAAAGAAUAGAAUUACGUAAAAAAUGGAUUCAAGCUUGCGGAUUUAAAGAAAAAGCUGAUGUAUCCAAUUUAUAUAUUUGCUCGUAUCACUUUAACUUACCUCUUAGCAUUUAGUUAUAAAGAAUAAAAUUAAAUUAUCUCCUGGAGCUAUACCCACUAUAGAUAUCAAUAAUAAUGCAGCAAUAAAUUUAAUUACCUCACCAGAAAUAGCUAAUUGUCCAACAAUUAAAUUAUCAAAUGUGCCAAUAAUAGAAAGUGCAAAUAUAUCUAAAAAAAAAUUACUUGAAGUGAAAAGUAUAUCUUCAACUCUUGAAGUAAAUAAUGAUAAUACAGUUCACAAUAUCAGAAAUUUCUCAUUCAUAUUCUGAAGAGGACUUUUCUUUUACUUCGAAAGAACGCUUAUUUGCAAUCUCAGAAAUUACUAUUUCUGAUGUUAAUGCAUCAAGAGAGGAUACUUUUUCUCCUUCAAAAAAGCGCCCAUUUGCAAAUCUAGAUAUGUCUCAGAAAUGACUACUUCUGGUGUUAGUGCAUCGAAAGAGAAUUUUUCUUCUCCUCCAAAAAAGCAUCUAUUUACAGAGCCUAGAUAUGUCUCAGAAAUUAUUAUUUCUGACGUUAGCACAUCAAGAAGAGCGAAAAAAAUCAAUUUUGUUAAAAAAGUGGAUGAAAAUAAACGCAAACAAAUAAAAUCUUUACAAGAUCAAAACAGAAAACUUUUAAUGCGAAUUAUUACAUUGCAUUGUACGAAAAACGUGGGAAAACUUAUUACCAAAUCUUUUCACAAUGGAACUGAUAUCGUGUAGUUGAUGAAGCUCCUGAAGGUUUCACAAAGGAAGCGUUAGAUGCCAUUAUAAUGCAUGAUAAUAAUUCUAAACCUUUUGUUAUUAACUUAGUUAUAGAUGAAAUGGCAAUAAGGAAACAAAUAAUUUUUGAUAAAGAAAGAUUUUAUGGUGGUAUUGAUUUUGGUAGUCAGAAAUGUAGAUGAUAACGAUUCUGUUCUUCCUGCUAGAAACGCUUUAGUGUUUAUGACAGUAUUUUUAAAUGAUAAUUGGAAAGUACCAAUUGCAUAUUUUUUAAUAAGAUCAUUAAACGGUACAGAACGUUCGAAUUUAUUAAUACUUGCAUUUGAACAAUUGCAUAAAAUAAAUUGUAAAGUCUUUUCCAUAACUUUUGAUGAUGCUCCAAGUAAUAUUAGUAUAUGUAUUGUUUUGGGUGCAAAUUUUACAUAUGGGAGUAAUUUUAAGCCAUUAUUUAUAAAUCCAAUUACAUCAGAAAUAUGUUACAUGUUUUUUGAUUUUUGCUUUAUGAUAAAAUUAGUAAGAAAUAUUAUAAGCAACAAAAAAAUUUUAAGAACCUCAAAUGGUGAAAGAAUUGAAUGGAUUCAUAUAAUUAAUAUUUACUAAAUAUAAGAAAAAGAAUGUUUGAAAGCUGCUAAUAAACUCAGGAGUAAACAUAUCAAUUUUCAAAAUAAUAGAAUGAAUGUCAAGUUAGCAUUACAAACUUUAAGUGAAAGUGUACAAAUCAUUUAUAUCUUUUAUCAAUGUUACCAGAUUCUACAAUGAAACAUCAAUUUUUUAAUUGCAAAAUAACUGCAAAAGAGUUUUGUUUAUAAAUUUUAAUAAUAUGAUAUGUUAGAUUGCAAAUUUUCUCGUCAUAAGUUUAAUACAGCAUUAACUUCUAAAAAUUAUGCACAACUGCAGUUGUAUGCCAAAAAUUUUUAUGAAUAUAUUAAUACAUUAUAGGAUGAGAGAGGCACUCCCAUUUUAAAAACUAAUAGAAAAAUUGAUUUUUCUGGUCUAAUUAUAUGUUUAAGAAAUAUAUUUCCGCUAUUUGAUUGUUUAAAGUCUUUAGGAAUGAUGUAUUUAUUAAUAUAUAAAUUAUCUUAAGAUUUUUUUGAAACGUUUUUUAGUGCUAUAAGAAGUCGUGGAGGGUUUAAUAAUAAUCCAAAUGCUCUACAAAUAAAAAAUGCAUACAAAUGUUUAUUGAUCAGGUAUGAAUUAAAAGAGUUUGAUAGCGGCAAUUGUCUUUUUGACAGUUUAGAAAUUUUACAUGCAUUAUCGAAUCCAAAAACAUUUAAAUGUCCUAUAGCAAAUAAAGAAGAAAUUUUUGAUGAAAGAAUACUCAUUUUCGAUCAUGAUUAUAUAAAAACAUUUUAGCAGCUUACACCAUAUGUAGAUAACAUAGUCCAAUACAUAGCAGGAUAUAUCUGUAAUAAACUGUUAUUAAUUGUAAAUAUAACAUUAUACAUUGUGAUAUUUAUAAAAACCAGUUAUUAAGUCAUAAAAUAUUUUUGUUAUCCAAACUAAAAAAUAGAGGGCCAUAUUUAACACGAUCUGAUGACGUAUAAAGAAUUUGUAAAAUAUCAGAAAUAACUAUCCGGCAAUACACAAAUAAAUUGCAAAAAAAUAAAAUAAAACAAUUUUUAGCGAAUAUUAUAUAUCAUAGAUUAUAAUCUCCAUUUUCUAACGAUAUUAUGCAAAAUCAUAUAUUAUCUCAAGAUGUACUAGAUAAUCAUAGAGCACAACUGUGUAAAUAUAAUAUCAUCAUACAUAAAAAUUGUUUCACGCGUGCGCGCGCUCGCGAAGCCAAAAAGAUGUCUAACAAAAAUGAUUAUAUUCACCAAACAUUUACAAAA